UACGGGAGUGGCAAGCGUUAUCCGGAAUUAUUGGGCGUAAAGCGUCCGCAGGCGGUCUUACAAGUCUGUCGUUAAAGCGUGGAGCUUAACUCCAUUUCAGCGAUGGAAACUGUAAGACUAGAGUGUGGUAGGGGCAGAGGGAAUUCCCGGUGUAGCGGUGAAAUGCGUAGAUAUCGGGAAGAACACCAGUGGCGAAGGCGCUCUGCUGGGCCAUAACUGACGCUCAUGGACGAAAGCCAGGGGAGCGAAAGGG
rnacentral:rRNA from 1 species